GUUUGUAGCUCAGUGGUAGAGCACUUGCCUAGCAUGUGUUUGGCACUGGGUUCGAUUAUCAGUAUCACA
rnacentral:tRNA from 1 species